rnacentral:rRNA from 1 species
AUGGAGGACUUUGUUUCAUGGCACUACAACAAAUCUGGAAUUUUCUCGGUCAGGACGGCUUAUCACAUGGAGUGGGAUCAUCAACAUGGACGAAAGUUGAGACAAACGAAUUCGGUAUUGUCUUCAAGUACUAGUCCUGUUUGGCGCAUUCUAUGGAAGCUUCGAGUACCGGCAAAAGUUAAAGUGCAUGUUUGGCGCGCUCUGUAUGGUGCAAUUCCGUGUCGGGGUGUGCUAGCAAAUCGACAUAUGAUAACAACUUCUGAUUGCCCAAUCUGUGAAACUGACCGUGAAAGUAUUCGCCACUCUUUUUUCAGAUGCAACCUGGUCCAAGAAAUCUGGACUAGGCUGGGUUUGUUUCCCACUAUUACUGGACUUUGUGAAGCAGAGUCGGAGGGUUCGUCGGUCCUAGGUGAUCUGCUACUGAUGCCCAAUGUCGCUGUACCAUCAUUCCCGGGUGUUACCAGGAAGGAGCUGGCGGCCGUGGCGGUGUGGUACAUGAAGCACGGGGCGACGCGGAUCAAAAGGCAUGGAUGGACUAGACCAGCGGAAGGGUUCGUCUGUCUCAAUGUCGAUGCCUCUUUCGAUUCUGGCAGUGGAACUGGAGGUACAGGGGCUAUCAUUAGAGAUUCCAUGGGAGGCUUUAUCACGGCGUCGGCAUGCAAUAUCCCUUUCGUGGAGGAUGCAGAAACAGCAGAACCUAGAGGACUCAAGGAUGGCUUGAUCUUGGCGAAUAACGCUGGAUGCAAUAAGGUGGAGAUCCAAGCUGACUGCAUGGACGUAAUCCAAACCAUGCAACAGGGAGGAAAUUCUUUGGGACCAACGGCGGCCAUCUAUGAAGAAUGUGCUUUUUUAUAUCGCAAUUUUAUUUCAGUUAAAUUCAGUCAUUGUCUUAGGGAGACCAAUAUGGCGGCUGAUUUGUUGGCUACUAAGUCGGAACCCUCGAGAACUAUUGUGUGGCAGACCGAGGCUCCGGAUUUUUUUCUCGAUGUACUCUCAAACGGUGUAGCCCUAUUUUCACAUGAAAUAUAA